rnacentral:rRNA from 1 species
UACAGAGGGUGCAAGCGUUAAUCGGAAUUACUGGGCGUAAAGCGCGCGUAGGUGGUUUGUUAAGUUGGAUGUGAAAUCCCCGGGCUCAACCUGGGAACUGCAUUCAAAACUGACAAGCUAGAGUAUGGUAGAGGGUGGUGGAAUUUCCUGUGUAGCGGUGAAAUGCGUAGAUAUAGGAAGGAACACCAGUGGCGAAGGCGACCACCUGGACUGAUACUGACACUUAGGUGCGAAAGCGUGGGGAGCAAACAGG